CCUACGGGAGGCAGCAGUGGGGAAUAUUGCACAAUGGGGGAAACCCUGAUGCAGCGACGCCGCGUGAGUGAAGAAGGACUUCGGUAUGUAAAGCUCUAUCAGCAGGGAAGAAAAUGACGGUACCUGAGUAAGAAGCCCCGGCUAACUACGUGCCAGCAGCCGCGGUAAUACGUAGGGGGCAAGCGUUAUCCGGAUUUACUGGGUGUAAAGGGAGCGUAGACGGCAGGGCACGUCGGCAGUGAAAGGCCGGGGCUCAACCCCCGAACUGCUGUGGAAACUGUUCGGCUAGAGUGCAGGAGUGGUAAGUGGCAUUCCUAGUGUAGCGGUGAAAUGCGUAGAUCUUAGGAGGAACACCAGUGGCGAAGGCGGCUUACUGGACUUUAACUGACGUUGAGGCUCGAAAGCGUGGGGAGCAAACAGGAUUAGAUACCCUUGUAGUC
rnacentral:rRNA from 1 species